AAUAAAGCGUUGACGAAGAUAAGUCGUUGAACAAGAUUGUUUUUAGAGAGUUUGCCAUUGGUGGGAGGCGAAUAACGGUCGUUGAACGGUACUACUUCCAAGCGAACUGGUGAACCAGUUCCGUUUCCCGCGUUAAGGGACGAUGAGGUGAGGGGGAACCCUCUCGAAUUCGGGUGGUACCGCGUGCAAACGUCCCGUUA
rnacentral:ncRNA from 1 species